GGAUGCCUGGGCCCCUCCCGGACGCCUGGGCCCCUCCCCGGCGCCGUCUCCCCGCAGGCGCCGGCCAGGCUGGCGGCGGAGCUGGCGAAGGCCGGGACCACGCGGGAGCAGCUGCGGAGGCAGGGUGAGCCCCGGACGCCUGGGCCCUUCCCGGACGCCUGGGCCCCUUCCCGGACGCCUGGGCCCUGGCCGGGGGUGACACCGCCUCCCCUCCCCCCCCCAGAGCAGCGCCUGCGGGAGCUGGAUGAACUGCUGGGCCCCGAGGCCCGCGUCGCCAUGUGAGUCCCGGACGCCUGGGCCCCUCCCCGGACGCCUGGGCCCUUCCCUGGACACCUGGGCCCCUUUCCGGGACGCCUGGGCCCCUUCCCAGACGCCUGGGCCCCUCCCCGGACACCUGGGCCCCUUCCGCAGACACCUGGGCCCUUUCCCGGACGCCUGGGCCCUUUCCCGGACACCUGGGCUCUUUCCUGGACGCCUGGGCCCUUUUCCUGUACUCCUGGGCCCUUUUCCCGGACGCCUGGGCCCCCCUCGGACACCUGGGCCCCUCCCUGGACGUCUGGGCCCUUCCCCGGACACCUGGGCCCUCUCCCGGACGCCUGGGCUCUUUCCUGGACGCCUGGGCCCUUCCUGGACACCUGGGCCCCUUUCCCGGACGCCUGGGCCCCUCCCCGGACGCCUGGGCCCUUUCCCGGACGCCUGGGCCCCUUCCCCGGACGCCUGGGCCCCCUCUCCCGGACGCCUGGGCCCCUCAGCGCGUCAUUUCUCGCAGGCUGGCGGCGGAGCUGGAGCGGCUGCAGGGGCUGGCGGCGGUGAGGGAACCCGUGUUGACCCGUGUCGUCCCGUGUUGUCAUCCUGUGUCAUCCUGUGACGUCAUGUGUCGUCCUGUGUCGUCCCAUGGCAACCCGUGUUGUCCCAUGUUGACCCGUGUUGACCUGUGUUGUCAUCCCGUGUCAUCCUGUGACGUCAUGUGUCGUCCUGUGUCAUCCCAUGGCAACCCGUGUCGACCCGUGUCGUCCCGUGUUGUCAUCCUGUGCCAUCCCGUGAUGUCAUGUGUCGUCCUGUGUCGUCCCAUGUCAACCCGUGUUGACCCGUGUUGACCUGUGUCAUCCUGUGUUCUCCCAUGUUGACCUGUGUCAUCCCGUGUUGACCCGUGUUGACCCGUGUUGAUCCAUGUUGUCAUCCCGUGUUGUCUUGUGUUGUCCCGUGACAUCAUGUGUCAUCCAAUGUCAUCCCGUGUUGACCCGUGUUGACCCGUGUUGACCUGUGUUGUUGUCCCACGUUGUCCUGUGUCAUCCCGUGUCAUCGCAUGUUGUCCUGUGUCAUCCCCUGUCGACUCGUCUUGAUCUGUGUUGUCGUCCCGUGUCAUCCCGUGUCAUCCCAUGUUGAUCCGUGUCAUCCUGUGUCAUCCCGUGUUGUCCUGUGUCAUCCCAUGUUGAUCUGUGUUAUCCUGUGUCGUCCCGUGUCGUCCUGUGACAUCCCGUGUCUUCCCGUGUCCUCCCACGUCACCGCGUGUCGCCAUCCCGUGUCACCUCGCGUGUCCCUCCGCGUGUCCCCGCCCACGUCACGCGUGUGCGUGCGGGGCGCUGACCCAUGUCCCCGCAGGUGCCACCGGGAGCCGCCGCCGCC
ensembl:lncRNA